rnacentral:rRNA from 1 species
GACGAACGCUGGCGGCAUGCCUAAUACAUGCAAGUCGAGCGGAGUUGACGAGAAGCUUGCUUCUCUGAUACUUAGCGGCGGACGGGUGAGUAACACGUAGGCAACCUGCCUUUCAGUUUGGGAUAACUUCCGGAAACGGAUGCUAAUACCGAAUACAUCAUCUUCUGGCAUCAGAGAAUGAGGAAAGACGGCGCAAGCUGUCACUGAGAGAUGGGCCUGCGGCGCAUUAGCUAGUUGGUGGGGUAAUGGCUCACCAAGGCGAGGAUGCGUAGCCGAACUGUGCGGGUGAACGGCCACACUGGGACUGAGACCCUGCCCAGACUCCUACGGGAGGGAGCAGUAGGGAAUCUCCCACAAUGGGCAAAAGCCUAAUGGAGCAAUACCGAGUUGUUAAUGAAGAUUUUCGGUUCGUACAGCUCUGUUGCCAGGGAAGAACGUCCGGGUGAGAAGCUGCACCCGGAGUGACGGUACCUGAGAAGAAAGCCCCGGCUAACUACGUGCCAGCCGCCGCCGUAA